UGCUUACAAGUAGUCAGAGCCCGUUAAUGGGUGAUGGCGUGCCUUUUGUAGAAUGAACCGGCGAGUUACGAUUUGAUGCAAGGUUAAGCAGUAAAUGUGGAGCCGUAGCGAAAGCGAGUCUGAAUAGGGCGUUUAGUAUUUGGUCGUAGACCCGAAACCAGGUGAUCUACCCUUGGUCAGGUUGAAGUUCAGGUAACACUGAAUGGAGGACCGAACCGACUUACGUUGAAAAGUGAGCGGAUGAACUGAGGGUAGCGGAGAAAUUCCAAUCGAACCUGGAGAUAGCUGGUUCUCUCCGAAAUAGCUUUAGGGCUAGCCUCAAGUGAUGAUUAUUGGAGGUAGAGCACUGUUUGGACGAGGGGCCCCUCUCGGGUUACCGAAUUCAGACAAACUCCGAAUGCCAAUUAAUUUAACUUGGGAGUCAGAACAUGGGUGAUAAGGUCCGUGUUCGAAAGGGAAACAGCCCAGACCACCAGCUAAGGUCCCAAAAUAUAUGUUAAGUGGAAAAGGAUGUGGCGUUGCCCAGACAACUAGGAUGUUGGCUUAGAAGCAGCCAUCAUUUAAAGAGUGCGUAAUAGCUCACUAGUCGAGUGACACUGCGCCGAAAAUGUACCGGGGCUAAACAUAUUACCGAAGCUGUGGAUUGUCCUUUGGACAAU
rnacentral:rRNA from 1 species